rnacentral:rRNA from 1 species
AUGGCUCCUUCUCCUCGGACGGCAGGGUCAGGUAUGAUAUUAAGAAGGAAUGACGGGAGCGUAAUCUUUGCUGCGUACCGUCACUUAUUCUUUUGUGAUAAUGCUCUUGAAGCCGAGCUCCAUGCAAUCAGUGGUGAUUCAAUCGGAUUUCUCAACAGCCUUGAUCUGUUGGCUUAUGGUCAUCUUAUUUUAGAGAUCAGAGUCUUAUGGUCGGUGCUCGGUAGGGAGUUUGUUCCAAUGAAAAUUUACAGGGACCAGAACAGAGUGGCAGAUCAUGGUAGAACUGUCUAUAACAGAGCUUGUUAA